rnacentral:rRNA from 1 species
AUUGAACGCUGGCGGCAUGCCUUACACAUGCAAGUCGAACGGCAGCACGGGGCAACCUGGUGGCGAGUGGCGAACGGGUGGGUAAUGCAUCGGAACGUACCUUUCAGUGGGGGAUAACGUAGCGAAAGUUACGCUAAUACCGCAUAUUCUGUGAGCAGGAAAGCAGGGGAUCGCAAGACCUUGCGCUGAUUGAGCGGCCGAUGUCAGAUUAGCUAGUUGGUGAGGUAAAGGCUCACCAAGGCGACGAUCUGUAGCGGGUCUGAGAGGAUGAUCCGCCACAGUGGAAGUGAGACACGGUCCUGACUCCUACGGGAGGCAGCAGUGGGGAAUUUUAGACAAUGGGGGCAACCCUGAUCCAGCCAUGCCGCGUGAGUGAAGAAGGCCUUCGGGUUGUAACGCUCUUUCGGCCGGGAAGAAAUCGCACGGGCUAAUACCCUGUGUGGAUGACGGUACCGGAAUAAGAAGCACCGGCUAACUACGUGCCAGCAGCCGCAGUAAUAC